GAUAAACGCUGGCGGCGCACAUAAGACAUGCAAGUCGAACGAACUUAAUACCUUGCUUGCAAGGUAAGCGGUUAGUGGCGGACUGGUGAGUAACACGUAAGAAAUCUGCCUAUCAGAGGGGAAUAACAGUGAGAAAUCAUUGCUAAUACCGCAUAUGCCAUAGGGUUCGCAUGAACCUAGUGGGAAAGGAGCAAUCCGCUGAUAGAUGAGCUUGCGUCUGAUUAGCUAGUUGGUGGGGUAACGGCCUACCAAGGCGACGAUCAGUAGCCGGACUGAGAGGUUGAACGGCCACAUUGGGACUGAGAUACGGCCCAG
rnacentral:rRNA from 1 species